GAUGAACGCUGACAGAAUGCUUAACACAUGCAAGUCCACUUGAAUUUGGGUUUUUAACUUAGGUUUGGGUGGCGGACGGGUGAGUAACGCGUAAAGAACUUGCCUCACAGCUAGGGACAACAUUUGGAAACGAAUGCUAAUACCUAAUAUUAUGAUAAUAGGGCAUCCUAUAAUUAUGAAAGCUAUAAGCGCUGUGAGAGAGCUUUGCGUCCCAUUAGCUAGUUGGAGAGGUAACGGCUCACCAAGGCGAUGAUGGGUAUCCGGCCUGAGAGGGUGAUCGGCCACAAGGGGACUGAGACACGGCCCUUACUCCUACGGGAGGCAGCAGUGGGGAAUAUUGGACAAUGGACCAAGAGUCUGAUCCAGCAAUUCUGUGUGCACGAUGAAGUUUUUCGGAAUGUAAAGUGCUUUCAGUUGGGAAGAAAGAAAUGACGGUACCAACAGAAGAAGUGACGGCUAAAUACGUG
rnacentral:rRNA from 1 species